AAGACUUAUACCCAGUGGGAAGGAAAAAAGCAAAAUUGUUUUCCAUUGCAGGUCAAAUAGCUCAGUCCUAAGGCGUUUGCCUUGAUGACUGUGUGAAGCCAGUGCACUCACUUAGCAGCUACCUCAUUUCUGGGAUGAGAUGUUUCAUUUCACCAGACAGAUUUCUCCACAACAGAGCAAGCACAAAGGAAAUGCUCUUAGAAGAACAAACAACCUUCUGCAGAUGCAGAAGAAAGGCAGAGAAAUAUUAGAUGACUUACCCACAGUCUGUAGCAGGUGAGUGAAAGAAUUAGAUAUAGAACCUCUGGCCUUUCCUCCAAAUAAUCUUGCCUGUGUUUUUGCCACACUAAAAUGAUUUUGCAUAUGUCCUGUCUCAAAAUAUGAAAAAUAUAUGCAAUAUGCAAAGCAGCCAAUUGGACUGCCUUUUGGAAUAUAUCAUCAUUUAUGAACAGUGCAUCUUGAAACCUAAACAGAUUGUGUGCAAUUAAUUGCAAACUGUCAAAGAGACUACAGCACUUUACUGCCAAUUUGUAAAUAAACCCUAGUUUGAAAAAGGACUGAGGCA
rnacentral:lncRNA from 1 species